rnacentral:lncRNA from 1 species
UUUUGACUCCCCUAAUUCGUCUCCUUGGCCGAUCCCUACAUGCGAACGCCCUUACAUCACUAUAAGUAGUGAUCGGCGACGCGUAGAGGUAAAUCCCAUUGUCACUUCGAUUGCAGCGAAGAAGACGGGCUCCGAUCGCUAAGGUAAAUAUUUCCACUCCCUUCCCUUUGGAUUCAUAUCAAAGCAAAAGAAAAAAGAAUCAAAAUGAAAGAGAAAAAAAAAUGGAAAUCACCUUUUCAAAAUUGCUUUCGAAAUUUUUUUGUAUUCAAUAUCCGUAGAAAAAUUUACACUCAUUCUCUGGCCUUUUAUAGCCGAAAAAGAAAUAAAAUGAAAAUUACAGCCACUAUUUUUCUUCUCUAUUUUCUGCUAUUUUUACUGUUUGUUGUUGGUUAUUUGUUGUGUUCGCUUCUUCUCGCAGGUUCUGCUGAUGUGGAAAUAUAAGGAGGCCUCACGAGGGCCGCACCUGGAGUGUGCGGAGGCUGCGUACGUGGCCAUGACACGCUGGAAGUGCUGCGGCACCAAGGAAACCCUAGGUUUCUAUUUGGCUGAUCCCGAGUCUAAGUUUUGGGCCAUUGGACCUAUUUUAUUUUGGGCUGUAAUUUGCUUGUAAGUGGGCUAGAUAAUUGGGUUUGGUUUAAUUUAGGUUUGGGCUUAUUUGGGUUAUAAGUGAUUUGUAAAUGGACUUUGAUGAUGAACUUUUAUUAGUUUUU